rnacentral:rRNA from 1 species
AUUGAACGCUGGCGGCAGGCCUAACACAUGCAAGUCGAGCGAGCGGCGGACGGGUGAGUAAUGCCUGGGAAUUGCCCAGUCGAGGGGGAUAACAGUUGGAAACGACUGCUAAUACCGCAUACGAUUGGAUUGCCCAGGUGGGAUUAGCUAGUUGGUGAGGGAAUGGCUCACAAAGGCGACUAUCCCUAGCUGGUCUGAGAGGAUGAUCAGCCACACUGGAACGGAGACACGGUCCAUCCUCCUACGGGGGGCAGCAGUGGGGAAGAUUGCACAAUGGGGUAAUCCCUGCUGCGGCCAUGCCGCGGUUGUGAAGAAGGCCUUCGGGUUGUAAAGCACGUUCAGCGAGGAGGCGUUACUCGCAGAAGAAGCACCGGCUAACUCCGUGCCAGCCGCCGCGGUAAUUC